rnacentral:tRNA from 1 species
GGAGAGCUGGCCGAGUCCGGUUUAAGGCAGCGGAGUGCUAAUCCGCAGCAGGGAUGAAUGUCUCUGCCGAGGGUUCGAAUCCCUCGCUCUCCU